GACGAACGCUGGCGGCGUGCUUAACACAUGCAAGUCGAACGGAAAGGCCCUGCUUUUGUGGGGUGCUCGAGUGGCGAACGGGUGAGUAACACGUGAGUAACCUGCCCUUGACUUUGGGAUAACUUCAGGAAACUGGGGCUAAUACCGGAUAGGAGCUCCUGCUGCAUGGUGGGGGUUGGAAAGUUUCGGCGGUUGGGGAUGGACUCGCGGCUUAUCAGCUGGUUGGUGGGGUAGUGGCUUACCAAGGCUUUGACGGGUAGCCGGCCUGAGAGGGGGACCGGCCACAUUGGGACUGAGAGACGGCCCAGACUCCUACGGGAGGCAGCAGUGGGGAAUAUUGCACAAUGGGCGGAAGCCUGAUGCAGCAACGCCGCGUGCGGGAUGACGGCCUUCGGGUUGUAAACCGCUUUCGCCUGUGACGAAGCGUGAGUGACGGUAAUGGGUAAAGAAGCACCGGCUAACUACGUG
rnacentral:rRNA from 1 species